AGAGUUUGAUUAUGGCUCAGGAUGAACGCUGGCGGCGUGCUUAACACAUGCAAGUCGAACGGAGUUUAUAUGAAACCUAGUGAUUAUAAACUUAGUGGCGGACGGGUGAGUAACGCGUGGGUAACCUGCCUUAUACCGGGGGACAACAGUUAGAAAUGACUGCUAAUACCGCAUAAGCGCACGGUAUCGCAUGAUACAGUGUGAAAAACUCCGGUGGUAUAAGAUGGACCCGCGUCUGAUUAGCCAGUUGGUGAGGUAACGGCCCACCAAAGCAACGAUCAGUAGCCGGCCUGAGAGGGUGAACGGCCACAUUGGGACUGAGACACGGCCCAAACUCCUACGGGAGGCAGCAGUGGGGAAUAUUGGACAAUGGGGGAAACCCUGAUCCAGCGAACCGCCGCGUGAGUGAAGAAGUAUUUCGGUAUGUAAAGCUCUAUCAGCAAGGAAGAUAAUGACGGUACUUGACUAAGAAGCCCCGGCUAACUACGUGCCAGCAGCAGC
rnacentral:rRNA from 1 species